rnacentral:rRNA from 1 species
GACGAACGCUGGCGGCGUGCCUAAUACAUGCAAGUAGAACGCUGAAGAGAGGAGCUUGCUCUUCUUGGAUGAGUUGCGAACGGGUGAGUAACGCGUAGGUAACCUGCCUUGUAGCGGGGGAUAACUAUUGGAAACGAUAGCUAAUACCGCAUAACAAUGGAUGACACAUGUCAUUUAUUUGAAAGGGGCAAUUGCUCCACUACAAGAUGGACCUGCGUUGUAUUAGCUAGUAGGUGAGGUAACGGCUCACCUAGGCGACGAUACAUAGCCGACCUGAGAGGGUGAUCGGCCACACUGGGACUGAGACACGGCCCAGACUCCUACGGGAGGCAGCAGUAGGGAAUCUUCGGCAAUGGGGGCAACCCUGACCGAGCAACGCCGCGUGAGUGAAGAAGGUUUUCGGAUCGUAAAGCUCUGUUGUAAGUCAAGAACGAGUGUGAGAGUGGAAAGUUCACACUGUGACGGUAGCUUACCAGAAAGGGACGGCUAACUACGUGCCAGCAGCCGCGGUAAUACGUAGGUCCCGAGCGUUGUCCGGAUUUAUUGGGCGUAAAGCGAGCGCAGGCGGUUUGAUAAGUCUGAAGUUAAAGGCUGUGGCUCAACCAUAGUUCGCUUUGGAAACUGUCAAACUUGAGUGCAGAAGGGGAGAGUGGAAUUCCAUGUGUAGCGGUGAAAUGCGUAGAUAUAUGGAGGAACACCGGUGGCGAAAGCGGCUCUCUGGUCUGUAACUGACGCUGAGGCUCGAAAGCGUGGGGAGCGAACAGGAUUAGAUACCCUGGUAGUCCACGCCGUAAACGAUGAGUGCUAGGUGUUGGAUCCUUUCCGGGAUUCAGUGCCGCAGCUAACGCAUUAAGCACUCCGCCUGGGGAGUACGACCGCAAGGUUGAAACUCAAAGGAAUUGACGGGGGCCCGCGCAAGCGGUGGAGCAUGUGGUUUAAUCCGAAGCAACGCGAAGAACCUUACCAGGUCUUGACAUCCCGAUGCUAUUUCUAGAGAUAGAAAGUUACUUCGGUACAUCGGUGACAGGUGGUGCAUGGUUGUCGUCAGCUCGUGUCGUGAGAUGUUGGGUUAAGUCCCGCAACGAGCGCAACCCCUAUUGUUAGUUGCCAUCAUUCAGUUGGGCACUCUAGCGAGACUGCCGGUAAUAAACCGGAGGAAGGUGGGGAUGACGUCAAAUCAUCAUGCCCCUUAUGACCUGGGCUACACACGUGCUACAAUGGUUGGUACAACGAGUUGCGAGUCGGUGACGGCAAGCUAAUCUCUUAAAGCCAAUCUCAGUUCGGAUUGUAGGCUGCAACUCGCCUACAUGAAGUCGGAAUCGCUAGUAAUCGCGGAUCAGCACGCCGCGGUGAAUACGUUCCCGGGCCU